rnacentral:lncRNA from 1 species
CUCGGGAGUUAAACGUGAUUCAUUUCCAAGCGGUCUCACGUGCCAAGCACUUCAUCUAUGGUCUUGACUAGCCUACUUGAUUGCAUUGGGCAGGACAAAAAGAAAACAGCUUUCAGUGGACGGGAGGCUAUGAGCAUAUGGGCAGUGUGCGUCAAGGCUGCAUAAGCUGCAUUUUCCCCUAUCAAAGUUCAUGCCAUAAUGAACUGCAUUAAUGCUAAAACCAGCUUUGGAUCAUGUUUUUAAAACUUCUUAGGGAUAGCCCCCUUUUUUUCAAUUUUUUGCCUAAAAUGACAUUCCCAAAUCUAACUGCCUGUAAAUCAGGCCCUGAAGCAAGGAUAUGCAUAUUCUUGGUACCAUUUGAAAGGGAACACUUUGAAGUUUGUGGAAAUGUGAAUUGAAUGUAGGAGAAUAUAACACAAUAUAUCUGGUAGAAGAAAAUACAAAGAAAAAAAACUGUUUUUUUUCUACCACCAUCUUUUAAAUGCAACAGAAAGGUCCCAGUUCUAGCCAUCACUCUGGAUGUAAUUCCGAUGGUGUCCACAAGAGCAGCAGUGUAUGUGCAAAGUCUCAGAUGGAUAACAUGAAGUAUGAAUGAACUACAUGACAUUUAUUUUGAAGUCACCCAGGUAAAUUUGGGCAAAUCAUGAAGGAGACAUUCGCAUUCAUAUUACAUAUUUCUGCAAGAAUAUCGUCAAAUCUGUAUACUUGGACUUUGAUUUAGCUUUUCCAAUAUUAGUAGCCAUAUUUUUAAGUUCAACAUUUGCAAAACAACCAGUUUUCACAACUUUAUAACUCUGAAUAUUCUUAUAAUUUUUGUCCAAAAGAAAAAGGAAUGCUGUCGCACAAGGUUAGCAGCUACAGUUGAAGUCGGAAGUUUACAUACACUUAGGUUGUUAUGGAUAGGGGGCAGUAUUUUCACGGCCGGAUAAAAAACGUACCCGAUUUAAUCUGGUUAUUACUCCUGCCCAGAAACUAGAAUAUGCAUAUAAUUAGUAGCUUUGGAUAGAAAAUACUCCAAAGUUUCUAAAACUGUUUGAAUGGUGUCUGUGAGUAUAACAGAACUCAAAUGGCAGGCCAAAACCUGAGAAGAUUCUGUACAGGAAGUACCCUGUCUGACCAUUUCUUGGCCUUCUUUGUCAUCUCUAUCCAAAACAAAGGAUCUCUGCUGUAACGUGACACGUUCUAAGGCUCCCAUAGGCUCUCAGAAUGCGCCAGAACGUUGAAUGAUGACUCUGCAGUUACUGGCUGAAAAACAGUACCGCAUUUGAGUCCCCCAGUCUAUUGCCAGGAGUGAGGGUGUGAUCUUCGUCCUCGCUGAAUGAGAUUAGGGCUAGUGCUAUGACAGAUGAGCCACCUCUGGCGCCAGCGUGGAGAGAUACAACGUCUUAUCAACCCCAAUGAAAGGGAAUAACACAAUCAUCUGUGGAUCGAAAAUGUACAGUAUAUCUGUAGUGCCAAGCAGAGGCGGUAUUGUCCUUAAAAGAUGUACAGAGACACUCUGCUCACCGGAUAAUGAAAGGGAUUGGUGACUGAGAUGAUAUGGUUUAUCACAAGCAAAUAAUAGUCUCUUCGUGAAGUCUUUAUUAUCAAAAUGCAGAUGUGUAGACCAAACUAAGGAAUUACUAUAAGAGCCACACAAUUCACUGCUUGGGAACUAAGUUCCUUAUCUCUUUAAGCCACUCACUCUGUUGGCUCAACCAAUAGCAGGACAGUAGGCUUUGUCCUGUGUUGUUGGGAGAUGCAUAUUGGACGUGAGUUGACGUUAGGCAGGUUGUGUGAAUCCCGUCCAGCUGCUCACUCUACCCACACUGCACCUGAGAGAUUCAGCGACUCCCCACGCCAGCUGAAGAAGGUGACUCA